rnacentral:rRNA from 1 species
AGAUUAAGUUAUUAAGGGCGCACGGUGGAUGCCUUGGCACUAGAAGCCGAUGAAGGACGUUACUAACGACGAUAUGCUUUGGGGAGCUGUAAGUAAGCUUUGAUCCAGAGAUUUCCGAAUGGGGGAACCCAGCACGAGUUAUGUCGUGUUAUCCGCAUAUGAAUUCAUAGUAUGUGAGAAGGUAGACCCGGAGAACUGAAACAUCUUAGUACCCGGAGGAAGAGAAAGAAAAAUCGAUUCCCUGAGUAGCGGCGAGCGAAACGGGAAGAGCCCAAACCAACAAGCUUGCUUGUUGGGGUUGUAGGACACUCUAUACGGAGUUACAAAAGUAUUUGUUAGACGAAUAACCUGGAAAGGUUAAUCAGAGAAGGUAAUAAUCCUGUAGUCGAAAACGAAUACCCUCUUGAGUGGAUCCUGAGUACGACGGAGCACGUGAAAUUCCGUCGGAAUCUAGGAGGACCAUCUCCUAAGGCUAAAUACUCUCUAGUGACCGAUAGUGAACCAGUACCGUGAGGGAAAGGUGAAAAGUACCCCGGAAGGGGAGUGAAAGAGAACUUGAAACCGUGUGCUUACAAGUAGUCAGAGCCCGUUAAUGGGUGAUGGCGUGCCUUUUGUAGAAUGAACCGGCGAGUUACGAUCUGAUGCAAGGUUAAGCAGAAAAUGUGGAGCCGUAGCGAAAGCGAGUCUGAAUAGGGCGAAUGAGUAUUUGGUCGUAGACCCGAAACCAGGUGAUCUACCCUUGGUCAGGUUGAAGUUCAGGUAACACUGAAUGGAGGACCGAACCGACUUACGUUGAAAAGUGAGCGGAUGAACUGAGGGUAGCGGAGAAAUUCCAAUCGAACUUGGAGAUAGCUGGUUCUCUCCGAAAUAGCUUUAGGGCUAGCCUCAAGUGAUGAUUAUUGGAGGUAGAGCACUGUUUGGACGAGGGGCCCCUCUCGGGUUACCGAAUUCAGACAAACUCCGAAUGCCAAAUAAUUUAACUUGGGAGUCAGAACGUGGGUGAUAAGGUCCAUGUUCGAAAGGGAAACAGCCCAGACCACCAGCUAAGGUCCCAAAAUAUAUGUUAAGUGGAAAAGGAUGUGGCGUUGCCCAGACAACUAGGAUGUUGGCUUAGAAGCAGCCAUCAUUUAAAGAGUGCGUAAUAGCUCACUAGUCGAGUGACACUGCGCCGAAAAUGUACCGGGGCUAAACAUAUUACCGAAGCUGUGGAUUGUCCGUAGGACAAUGGUAGGAGAGCGUUCUAAGGGCGUUGAAGCAUGAUCGCAAGGACAUGUGGAGCGCUUAGAAGUGAGAAUGCCGGUGUGAGUAGCGAAAGACGGGUGAGAAUCCCGUCCACCGAUUGACUAAGGUUUCCAGAGGAAGGCUCGUCCGCUCUGGGUUAGUCGGGUCCUAAGCUGAGGCCGACAGGCGUAGGCGAUGGAUAACAGGUUGAUAUUCCUGUACCACCAAUAUUCGUUUUAAGCGAUGGGGGGACGCAGUAGGAUAGGCGAAGCGUGCUGUUGGAGUGCACGUCCAAGCAGUAAGAUUGAGUGUUAGGCAAAUCCGGCACUCAUUAAGAUUGAGCUGUGAUGGGGAGAGGAAAUUGUUUCCUCGAGUCGUUGAUUUCACACUGCCGAGAAAAGCCUCUAGCUAGAAUAUCGGUGCCCGUACCGCAAACCGACACAGGUAGUCAAGAUGAGAAUUCUAAGGUGAGCGAGCGAACUCUCGUUAAGGAACUCGGCAAAAUGACCCCGUAACUUCGGGAGAAGGGGUGCUCUUUGGGGUUCACGCUCUGAAGAGCCGCAGUGAAUAGGCCCAAGCGACUGUUUAUCAAAAACACAGGUCUCUGCUAAACCGUAAGGUGACGUAUAGGGGCUGACGCCUGCCCGGUGCUGGAAGGUUAAGAGGAGUGGUUAGC